rnacentral:rRNA from 1 species
UGGGGAAUUUUGCGCAAUGGGGGAAACCCUGACGCAGCAACGCCGCGUGACCGAUGAAGCUUCUAGGAGCGUAAAGGUCUGUCGUAAGGGAAGAAAAAUAUGGAGGUAAAUAAUUUUCGUAUUUGACGGUACCUUACAAGAAAGCACCGGCUAACUUAGUGCCAGCAGCCGCGGUAAUACUAGGGGUGCGAGCGUUGUCCGGAAUCACUGGGCGUAAAGGGUCCGUAGGCGUCCCAAUAAGUCAUUUGUUAAAUUCACCGGCUUAACCGGUGGCCUGCAUUUGAAACUGUUGGGAUAGAGUAUAGGAGAGGAAAGUGGAAUUCCUGGUGUAGCGGUGACAUGCGUAGAUAUCAGGAGGAACACCAAUGGCGAAGGCAACUUUCUGGCCUAUCACUGACGCUGAGGGACGAAAGCGUGGGGAGCAAACAGG